AGUCGAACGGCAGCACAGUAAGAGCUUGCUCUUAUGGGUGGCGAGUGGCGGACGGGUGAGGAAUACAUCGGAAUCUACCUUUUCGUGGGGGAUAACGUAGGGAAACUUACGCUAAUACCGCAUACGACCUUCGGGUGAAAGCAGGGGACCUUCGGGCCUUGCGCGGAUAGAUGAGCCGAUGUCGGAUUAGCUAGUUGGCGGGGUAAAGGCCCACCAAGGCGACGAUCCGUAGCUGGUCUGAGAGGAUGAUCAGCCACACUGGAACUGAGACACGGUCCAGACUCCUACGGGAGGCAGCAGUGGGGAAUAUUGGACAAUGGGCGCAAGCCUGAUCCAGCCAUACCGCGUGGGUGAAGAAGGCCUUCGGGUUGUAAAGCCCUUUUGUUGGGAAAGAAAAGCAGUCGGCUAAUACCCGGUUGUUCUGACGGUACCCAAAGAAUAAGCACCGGCUAACUUCGUGCCAGCAGCCGCGGUAAUACGAAGGGUGCAAGCGUUACUCGGAAUUACUGGGCGUAAAGCGUGCGU
rnacentral:rRNA from 1 species